CACGUAGGGCGCAAGCGUUGUCCGGAAUUAUUGGGCGUAAAGAGCUCGUAGGCGGUCUGUUACGUCUGCUGUGAAAACCCAGGGCUUAACCCUGGGCUUGCAGUGGAUACGGGCAGACUAGAGGCAGGUAGGGGAGAAUGGAAUUCCCGGUGUAGCGGUGAAAUGCGCAGAUAUCGGGAGGAACACCGGUGGCGAAGGCGGCAUCCUGGACCAACACUGACGCUGAGUGAGCGAAAGCCAGGGGAGCAAACGGG
rnacentral:rRNA from 1 species